CCUCCUGGGCGGGGCGGUUACCCUGGCGAUGAGGCCUGCGGCGGGCUUUGAAUCGGAGCUGUUUGGAUGUUUGUGGGAGCGGUGGAGUCGAGUCGGUGCUUAAACCGGCAGAUGGCAAGCAAGUGGUAACCGAAGCUCCUAUCUUCAAAUCCAGGAUGACCAUGGAGCGCGGCUUCCGUGCUCAGGGCCUUUUCUUGCUCCUUACAGCUUUGUCCUUCUUUAGCCGUUUCUACCGCCUGGCGGAGCCCGGGCAUGUUUGUUGGGAUGAAACUCACUUUGGAAAAAUGGGAAGUUACUAUAUUAACCAAACGUUUUUUUUUGAUGUUCAUCCUCCACUAGGCAAGAUGUUAAUUGGAUUGGCAGGAUAUCUGACUGGUUAUGAUGGUACUUUCCCUUUUAAAAAACCUGGAGACAAGUAUGACCACCACCAUUACUAUGGCAUGCGAGCGCUCUGUGCAACCCUUGGGUCUUUCCUGGUUCCUUUUGCAUAUCUCAUCGUAUUGGAGCUGUCUGGUUCGCUCACUGCUGCACUGCUUGCUGCUGUUCUCCUGAUCUUUGAUACUGGCUAUAUUACUAUUUCGCAGUAUAUCCUGUUGGAUCCAAUUCUGAUGUUUUUUAUUCUGGGAGCAGUGUUGAGCAUGCUCAAGUUCAGUGCUGUGAAAGACAGGCCUUUUUCUCUAACUUGGUGGAAGUGGUUAAUGCUGACCGGGGUUAAUCUUGCUGGAGCACUUGGGGUAAAGUUUGUUGGAAUUUUUGUGAUCCUUCUGGUUGGAAUUAACACUGCUUGUGAUCUCUGGCAGCUUCUGGGAGCUGUCCACGUUUCCCUGGUUGAAUUUGGGAAACACUUGCUAGCAAGAGUUUUGUGUCUCAUCUUCCUUCCUCUUGUUUUCUACACAGCAUUGUUUGGAAUUCACUUCUUAAUUUUAAACAAAAGCGGUCCUGGUGACGGAUUUUUCAGCUCUGCAUUUCAGUCUCGUCUGAUUGGUAACAAUUUGCAUAAUGCAUCAAUGCCAGAGCAUAUUGCUUAUGGAUCAGUGGUUACAAUAAAGAAUGUACGGACUGCAGGCGGGUACCUGCAUUCCCACUGGCAUCUGUAUCCGGAAGGUGUUGGAGCACGACAGCAGCAGGUGACAGCCUAUUUACACAAGGAUAACAACAACCUUUGGAUUGUCAGGAAACCUGAACACAUGUCAGAUACAGAUGACAUUGUUCAACAUGUUCGUCAUGGUGAUGUCUUCAAGCUUGAGCACAAAGAAACGUCUCGGAAUAUGCACAGUCAUCAUCAUGAGGCACCACUGACAAAGAAACAUUUCCAGGUCACAGGAUAUGGAAUAAAUGGAACUGGAGAUUCAAAUGACUUCUGGAAAAUUGAGGUGAUUGGGGGACAGAAGGGAGACCUGAUUAAAGUUCUAAGAAGUAAAAUUCGAUUAAUCCAUGUGGCAACUGGCUGUGUCUUGUAUUCUUCUGGGAAAACCUUGCCCAAGUGGGGCUGGGAACAGGUUGAAGUCACCUGCAGUCCAUACCUAAAAGAAACCCCGAAUUCAUUGUGGAACAUUGAGGACCAUGUUAAUGCUAAGUUGCCCAAUAUCAGCCUUGAGGUCCUGAAACCGUCAUUCCCAGAGAUCCUACUUGAAUCACAUGUCGUCAUGAUCCGGGGCAAUAGUGGACUAAAACCAAAAGACAAUGAACUCACUUCAAAACCCUGGCAUUGGCCAAUCAAUUACCAGGGCCUUCGUUUCUCUGGGACAAACGAGACUGAAUAUAGAGUUUAUUUAUUGGGAAACCCUGUAAUUUGGUGGCUAAAUCUGACCAGCCUCAUUCUCUACUUGAUGCUCUCGACCAUCACAGCCAUCUACUUGCAGCGAGGAUAUCGACCAGGUCAGCGUGUCCAAGAGCGUGCUGAUAUUGUUCAGAAUGGAGCCAGGCAGAUUCUGCUGGGCUGGUUGCUCCAUUAUUUACCAUUCUAUCUGAUGGGCCGGAUCUUGUAUUAUCAUCAUUACUUCCCCGCAAUGCUUUUCAGCAGCAUGUUAACAGCAAUCACAUGGCAUGUUCUGCUGCAAAGUUUUGACCUCCUCUUAAGCCAGGAUGCAGCUCGCAGAGUUUACAAAGUAGGAAUGAUGUUCUUGGUUCUUGUCUGUGGGUAUAGUUUCUACUUGUUCCACCCUCUCUCCUAUGGGAUGAUCGGCCCACUUGCACAGGAUCCUCACAGUCCAAUGGCAGGAUUGAAAUGGUUGGAAUCCUGGGAGUUCUAACUGUUACCAGAGAUCAGAAAUGGAAAAUGGCAGCUAUUGUUUGUCACUGACAUAAGGUUGGAUCAAAGAUUUCAAUCAACAGAGAACAAGACUCCUGCCUUUGCUUUAAGCUUUUAAUAAGCUCUUUUGUAGCCUUCAAAAUAAGUGAUGCACUUACUGUUGUCAACUUGGAACUGAUGUGUGUAGUAUUCAAUUAAUAAAGCAGAUGCUUUAUUCAGGAGAUUUUACCUUUAACCUGGAACUACCCAGAAGGUGCUGCAGCCUUGAUGUAGAUAUUGAACCUUUGCAUGGAGCUCAAGGCUAAAUACAGGUGGCAAAUUUUAACUCCGAGUACUAUCACCACCUAAGAUGCAGUAAGGAGAAAAUCCGCAGUUAACAAAAUUCUGCCUGACAACAGCCUCCAAUCAGUUGAGCUUCAGUGUGUUAAAACUGUAAAUGCCAAGAGCAGCAACAGUGUAAGAAAUAUCAAAGCCUGAAGCCAGGAAGCAUCUAUCACUUUCUAUCUCUUUCUGUGGGGAGUGCAACAGAUAAACCAAGUAAAGAGAAGAUUCAUGCAGAACUCCAGUUCACCUAUCAAUCACAGAAUUGAAGAAUGACUACUGUGCUGCAGGCAACAGUAUCUUGUGAUUGUAAAGUUCAAAAGCACUUUGAAGAAAAAUAAACUCACCUUGUGGUUUGGACUUGAAUCUUAGAAAUUUUGUUUACCCUGUCUAUUCUUUAACCACUAUUCUAUAUUUGUGAUGCCAAGACAAACGAGACUAUGGGCCAAGUGUUGGCAAAUGGGAUUAAAAUAGUUAGGUCAUUGUUUAGACCAGCACAGAUGCAAUGGCUAAAGAGCUGAAUAUCUCUAUGACUCUGUGUGUAGUGUGCGUCUUGUUUAUCGUGUGUAUGUGUGUGUGUUUUAAGUUGCCUUAAUUAUGAAUCCCUAACUUUAGCACAACCAAUUAAAAAUAGUUUGUCAUAAUAAGUUAUUUUUUUUCUUCUUUUAUUGAAGCGAACGUGGUGUUUUCUUUUGUCCUGACUACUUUGGUCAUUUUGGUCUGAUUGGUAUUUCAUACAUUGUGACAGCUUUUGGGGUAUGUUUAUUGGGACACUCUUCCCAGUUAAAUAGUGACACCAGUAUCUGUUGUAAGUACAGCACCAGUGCUCCUGUAUUCUCUGCUGUUAAUAAA